rnacentral:rRNA from 1 species
AGAGUUUGAUCAUGGCUCAGAUUGAACGCUGGCGGCAUGCCUUACACAUGCAAGUCGAACGGCAGCACGGGGGCAACCCUGGUGGCGAGUGGCGAACGGGUGAGUAAUACAUCGGAACGUGUCCUUUCGUGGGGGAUAACCAGUCGAAAGACUGGCUAAUACCGCAUGAGAUCUCACGAUGAAAGCGAGGGACCGCAAGGCCUCGCGCGAUUGGAGCGGCCGAUGUCGGAUUAGCUAGUUGGCGGGGUAAAAGCCCACCAAGGCGACGAUCCGUAGCUGGUUUGAGAGAACGACCAGCCACACUGGGACUGAGACACGGCCCAGACUCCUACGGGAGGCAGCAGUGGGGAAUUUUGGACAAUGGGCGCAAGCCUGAUCCAGCCAUGCCGCGUGUGUGAAGAAGGCCUUCGGGUUGUAAAGCACUUUCGGCCGGAACGAAAUCGCCUUUGUUAAUAGCGGGGGUGGAUGACGGUACCGAAGAAGAAG